CGGAGUAUGUGUGUGAGUGUGUGUGGGGGGGGUGUGAAUGUGUGUGUGUGUAUAUAUAUGUCGUUUAACCUGGUUCCAUCCCUCCACACCACUCCAUCCCUGGUCCUUGGGAACAUAUCUGGAAUCAAAAUAGAAAUUAACAGGGAUAAUAGGGUUGAACAUACCCAUUUCUGUCCCCCGAAACCAACCACUGCUACUUCAGAAAUUGAUAUGGAAAUGUUAAAAUCCAGACAAAACUCUAGAGCAAGAAACAGCCUUCAGACUGUUAGGAAAAAUAAACAUUACACAGGACCCAUAUGUCCAUGCGCAUAACUUAAACAAGGAUUCAUAGAAAUUUACUCCUCCCAGCUUGUCACACACUCAUACACUUGGAUAUAUUCUACUUGUUUCUCUCUCUCUCUCUUUUUUUUUUUUGUAAUGCUGGUCACAGCCCAUGAAAUUGAUUUCACUACACACCAAUGAAUGGGUUCUUAUCUUGCUGUUCAAGUCAUCAUCUUUGAGCAUCUCCCCUCCCUAGGGCUUUGUAAGAGUGAAUAUGAGUAGCCAACUGUUCUGUGUGCUUGGUGGAGGAACAAGGGCAGAGGUGAGGUGCAGAGAUGAGGAUGAGAGAGUGUAGCGAGGGUGUAGCUCCCUGAGUGGAGACGACUAGCUCUUAUAAAGGCAUCAGCCCAUGAAGACUUGAUUGGCCAUGGGCUGCCCCAAGAAAAGGGGAGACUGGCAUUCUGCUGCCAGCCUGAGGGUCACAGCUUUGUAGGCACAUUGUAGGGAAUUUCCCAAAGCAUGGAGGAGGACCUCACUCCCUUCAUUCUUCCUCUCUUCCUCACUCCUUGUAUUAGUCUGUUCUCACGGUGCUAAUAAAGACAUAUCUGAGACUGAGUAAUUUAUAAAGAAAAGAGGUUUAAUUGACUCACAGUUUUGCAUGGCUGGCAAAGCCUCAGGAAACUUACAAACAUGGCAGAAAGGGAAGCAAACACGUCCUUCUUCACAUGGCGGCAGGAAAGAGAAUGAGAGUGAGGGAAGGGGGAAGCCCCUUAUAAAACCAUCACAUCUUGUGAGAACUCACUAUCACAAGAACAGCAUGGGGGAAACUGCCCCCAUGAUCCAAUUAUCUCCACCUGGUCCCGCCCUUGACAUGUGGGGAUUAUUACAAUUCAAGAUGAGAUUUUGAGUGAGUCACAGCCAAAUCACUCCCCUCACCUCCUCUUGUCCUUCUCCUUCCCUCAGUUCUUGAGGCCAGCAGCAAUUCAGUGGCUCAGUCACUACCAGGAUCUGGCCAAAGGGGCUUCCUGUCUAGAUCCUGGCCCACCUCCUGGCUCAUGGCCCUGGAUGAGCCCCAUGCUUACCCUGGGGUGCUGGCCCUUGCUUCUGAGAGUCCUCAGAUGGGCUGAUGGCUAUGCUGGGCUAGAGGCCUGUAGGUGAAGAGCCUCAGAGCCCUGCCCAUUGGUUACUGGGUCAUUAGUAAUGGGGGUAGGGAGGGAUCUGUAGAUGUUGGUAUUUGUUUUAAUGCUUUCUAGAGCACAGCCCAUCCCAAGCAUAUAAUUUUCAUUAUAUGAUAUCAACAUUUAGCUUCAGCAAUGGAAAUGUCAACAUUAAUUAUUUUCAAGGAGUCUUGAUGGCUCUGGGAAUAAAUCAAUAUAAAUAAUGUUUCCAUAAACUCUGAAUCACGCUCCUAAUAGUGUUAUAGCUAUAAUUUUAAUAUUCAAAACAAUUUUUCUUUGCAUCUUAGCAAUUAAUUGCUGCUAAGUGCUCAUUUUUUGGGAUCCUUAUUGCUGUCAGCUCAGAGCCAGAGGCUGGGGUCCCUGGCCCUGAAACCAUUCCUAGCUCUCCUUGCCCAAAGAGUCAGGCUUGGUAGAACAUCUCUUCCCCCCAAAAACAUGCUUUUUGCUCUCAGCCCAUUUAGAGUUUACUCACCCUUUGGCCUACUCACUCCAAGAUCCCUGUUCUGGCUGCCACACCUGGCAGCGUGGCACUCACCAGCUUCAUCCAGGACUCCUCGGGUAGACAGUGGGGCAGGUGGGGCAGUCCAGGGAGUUGGGCUUACCCACUCACCAGCUGUGUGACUCUGGACAACUGACAAGUGGCAGAGCCUAGGGUCAUCUACCAGGCAGAGUUCUUAUUUGCAGGUUACAGAGAAUGACUCAGGUGGAUAUGAGGAGAAACAGAAUUUAUUAAAGGAUAGCACAUAGCAAAGGCAAUUGACCAGGAAUAGCAUCUGAAAUUCCACUGAGAAGCUGGUUCCAGAGGAUGCCACUGGCACCCCGGAAAGGUCCUGGUCCCUGUGGUUUGCACAGCAGAUAGGGCCAGAUGUUGGGGAGCUGCUGGUUUCUGUUCUUACAAAGCUGCCUUUGAAAACCAGACAUGGUCAUGGCCACCUCCAUCACCAGAAUGGGGGGUUUUCCCUUCCCCAGCAUGCUGCUUGAGGCCUGGGUGCUCCACUGACGUGGCCAGGGACACCUAUCACAGCCAACCUGCAAAGGAGUAUGAAAAAGUGAGUACAGGAUGGGCGCGGUGGCUCAUGCCUGUAAUCCCAGCACUUUGGGAGGCCGAGGUGGGUGGAUCACGAGGUCAGGAGUUCAAGACCAGCCUGGCCAAGAUGGUGAAAUCCCGUAACUACUAAAAAACUACAAAAAUUAGCCAGGCGUGGUGACAGGUGCCUGUAAUCCCAGCUACUCGGGAGGCUGAGGCAGAAGAAUCGCUUGAACCUGGGCGGCAGAGAUUGCAGUGAGCCGAGAUCGCGCCACUGCACUCCAGCCUGAGUGACAGAGAGAGACUCUGUCUCAAAAAAAAAAAAAAAAAGGAAAAGAAAAGAAAAAAGAAAAAGUGAGUGUCUGGGAUUUUGCAUUUCUGUAAAAGGAGGCAGGCUUUCUGUUUAAUAGAGCGUGGGGAAGCGUCCCCACACAUAAGAAGAUUUCAGCUGCUUGGAGUCAGAAAGAAGGGCAGACAGUCCCACUGUGGCCACAGGCCUCUCUCUGCCUGGUUGCCAAAGAUCCUCCACAGCUGUUGUGUUUAAUGUCAACAUUCUUCUCAAUGAAGAGCUAUACAAGUGCAACUCCAAACACCUCUCUGUCCAAUCUGACUUCUGCCCUGAGCUUCCACUUAGGAUUCGCCUUCCCCCAUCCAUAAUCUACAGGGAGAAUGCACUGAUGAGGGUUCUGGUCCCCAUGACAGUUAUAUUUCUCAGGGUAAGUAAAUAACUGGGGCCGUGCAUGGUGGCUCACACAUGUAAUCCCAGGCUGCAGUUGGGGGAUCACUUGAGGCCAGGAGUUCAAAACCAGCCUGGGAAACACAGGAGACCCUAUCUCCACAAAAAAUACAAGCUGCAGUGAGCUAUGAUUACACCACUGCACUGCAGCCUGGGUCACAGAGUGAAACUCUGUCUCAAAAAAUAAAAAUAAUAAACAAGACAUAGUUGGUAUUUUGAGUUUAGAAAUUGGUCUCUCAUGAGGCUACAGCCAUUGGACAAUGCCCCUAGGCCCAGGUUCUUCUGAGCUGCCAGCCAUUUAGGUUCCCCUUUACCAAGGCUGAUUCCUGUGGGGAUCCCAGCUGGCACCACCCAUGACCAUGAGCCAUCGGUGCCUUUCCAUUCACACAGCCACAGGCUCUUCCUUAGCUACCAUGCAGCAGAAGCAGAAAUCAGAACGUGUAGACUGUGGAUUCACUCACAGAAAGGCUUAAAAUCCCGUUAAAGGAUUUAUUGAAACAUCAACCUUCACUUUAAAACAAUGAAAUUUUAUUCAAUUGGGACUCUGGGAAUGUCCAGAACCCAUGGCUCCUCAGUGCUAAUGUGCUGAACGCUGGGUGCCUCCCAGUUCUGCACUGUGGGAUGGACAAAUGAAUGAAUGAGUGAAUAAGUGGAUGAAGAGCCUGUCCUCCUAGCCCAAGACAGGCGUCCAGCAGUCUGGGUGAGGAGAGGAUUAGGGGUAAAUGAAUCUUUUGAGCACAAGAUGACUGCUCCUUUGCUGGGGAUGGGGCUGGGAGGCCAAUCCAGGUAGUGGGUGGAUGGGAUGAUCUCCUGGAUCCCUUUGUGGGAAUUUUUCCUGAAGAUGCCCGAAGAUUUAAGAUUGGAGUCAAACAAGGAGAGCAGACACAGAAUUGAUUAAAGCAGCGGGGGAUGGGAUGGUCCUGCCCUGUGCGCAUUGCUUUAAAAGGCCUAACAAAGGCAUCAAAUGCUUUUUUCUUUAUGUAUGAAGAGAAAAGAGGGAAAUGUAUAAGCUCCUUUUUUUCAAAUGUUGUUCCUUCCGCCAAAGAAAAGAUACAAGUAUUUGUACUAUAGCGCUAGCUGUCCAUUUGAUUACUAUACCCAGGACAACAAAUUUAUAUUAUUCCUGAGCGAGAUCUUUGGAGGUUAACUUUCCAUCCCAUAGUUCAUUAAUCUCUGCCAUCCAGGGUUCGAGUGAGUACAUUGGCUAUGCUGGAGAAUGUUUUUAAUCUCCAAAUUUACUCAAGAAGUUUCUUCUAACGGUUGCAUUAUUUCAACCUCAUCUGCUUCACUCCUGUUCCAGGUCUCCUCCCAUCCUUCCUACCAGGCCAGCAUUUCUACUCUGUGCAGCUACCAGCGAGGAGGGCCUGUGGGCUCAAAGACCCAACAGGAAUUCCUGCAGAAGCCCCAUAGCUUGAAGAGGGACCGUGGGAUGAAUGAGCCUGCAUGCAGCCUGGAAUGCAAAGGUUGUGCUGCUCUCCCGCAGCAGAGGGAAAGGGAGAGGGGAGAGGAAGGAGAGGGGUAGGGAGGCCACAGUGGGACAGUGGGAGGGAGAGAGAACAGAGGGCAGGUGGGCUGUGGCCAGCUGCGGGGCUCAGGAGGAGCCGCAGGCCUGCCAGCGUGUUUCUCUGUGUUAGAACCGGCCUGAGAAAGAAACUACCUGGAGGUGGGAGUCGCGGGAAGCUGAGAAGGGCUGGCAGCUGAGCAGCUCUUGGACGUGGCCCUCGGCUCCUACCUGUGCUUCCCUGUGCAGGGAGAAAGCUGCAGGAUGGCCAGGGGGUCCUGCUAGGGACAGAGCUCCCCACUCAUCAAGGCCUGGGUUGGAGGGACCCCUGGGACAGUGCAAGAGGAGGAGUUUGGGGUAGGGGCAGAGGGCCUGGCAGGUGGCCCAGAGCAGCAAGCAGGUGCUCCAUAGAGAAUGUCCUCAUAUCCUUCUGCUGGGGAGAGGGACCUGACUCCCUAGUGCUCACGGGCGAGGGCCAGCUCUCUGUUGGAUGAGCCCCCCACUGCAUCAGUGGCAGCAGUUGUGGGUGUGAGCCCCAAAUACUUCUGCUGUCUAUUCAAAAUGGGGAUACUGGCAGGUUGUCUGCACCUCCCAGUAGUGCCGGGCUAGCUGGUGAGAUGGCCCUGGGGAACUGCGCUUCCCCCAGUAUGGGGUGUGGGUGAGGGUGGACGGGCCAGUGGAACUUCUGUGCUGCUGCUGGCCAACUCAGGCCUUCACUAGGCAGCCUCUCCUCUGUGGAGGACGGCUGAAACUGCAGGAGUUGAGUUGGAAGGUGAGGAGAGGGUCCCAGGCCUGGAGCAAGAACAUGGCCAUGCGUGUCUGUCCCUCCACUCCCUUGCGUGGGGACACCUUCCCAGAAUGCUGCCCCCACCCCUCCUCCCACAUCACUUUCCUUCCCCUCUCCAGCCCCUCCCCUCACUUGAAAGCCUGUACCAGGGGCUCCUCUCCUCCAGCCCCUUCAGCCAAGAGGCUCCAAGUUCUGGAGCAAGUAUGCUCCCUCCCCUCCCCUCUGAGGGGUUUGUGGGGCCCUUGGGGCCUCCUGGGAACGUCCCAGGUGCUUCGGCCCAAGAUCUGUGCUGAUUCAAUGCCACCCCCACAGCUGGGCAGAGCCUUGAGAUGGACACUCCCUGCAAACCCUGCCCAGCCUAGAGCUGAGCACGGGGCUUUGGGGCCCCCCAAUGGCUCUGCUCAGUCAUUCUUCAGGGCCAGGGACCACCUUCUGGAGCCUGAGCCAGAACCUGAGCCUCCCUUCAGGCUCUUCUCUCAGCCACACCACCACCCCCCGCCUGCUUCUCACCGCCCAGCCCACAUCAAGCCCUAAUUCUACCCUUUUUAUUCCAUGUAAGAGCUUGCCCAAAAGGAGCUCUCGCCCCUAGCAACAGAAAAAGGCUUCUGUUCUUAGAAAUACAGCAGCCAUUUGUCCAUGCCUGGAGACCCUCUUGUUCUGCCCUAGUACAUCGCCUUCCCAGCUGUGGCCAGAAAUUGGCUUUUCUUCCAUUUCUACUUCCUUGCUGAAGCCAUCUUCUCCACCUGUCUGGUGUUCAUUGCACCAGGCAUCCUGCUAUUGCUAUUCUAUACUGGGGUUCUGGAGCAGCAGGAGUGUGGCCCCAAGGCAGGAACGCCUCCCAUUGCCUUGAUGACAUUCAGCAAAUCACUCUUGCCCUGGGGACCAGGUUUUCCUUCUGUAAAAUGAGGGGGAGUGGACCUCAUCAUCUCUGAUUCCUUCCAGCUUUAGAAUCUGUUUCUGUGAUGAUGUUGGGGAUUGUGCAGACCUAGUUUCCUUUGUUUACAAGAUGUGGAGACUAAGAAACCCAUAGAAGUGUGAAGUAUAGAGUAUCAAGAGCACUCCCUCUGCCUGUUCUGGGGUGUACACUGUUACCCACACUUCCAGGGAGAAAGCGCCCUGGUUGAGGGAGUGGUGCCAAUGUGCAGACACAUCCCAGCCUGGGACCCAGGGCUGCCCGUGCCCAUCCCCCAAUAGCCCUGCUGCUCCCUUCCCCCUCGCCUCCCUCCAGGGCUGUGGAGAGGAAGAAACGAGAUGCUCCCUCUUCAGAUGCCCUGCCCAUAGGAAGGCCCAUGCAGAUCCUCGGGACUAUGCUCUGUUCUGUUCAAUCCACCUGGUGGGUCUGACCACCAGGACAUGGCCCUGCCUUCCAGGGAGUAGACACUGUGUCUGCACUGUGCUCCUCUCUUGUGACAAGAGCAGGCUUGGUGCUAUGGAGGCUUCCCAAGGCGUCCUGUAGGAGCAUUAAUCACUGAAGGAAGGGCCAGGGCAGUAGCAGGCCAGGGACAGUGGGCCCUUCCACGGAGCACAGAGCAGUGGGCCCCGCAGGAGAGGCAGGUAGGGGUGGAGGUGAGGCGCUCAGGAGCAACGCAGCCCUGUCUCCACAGCCCGGCAAGGGAUUUUAUGGAAUACUUGAGAAAAAAAUCAUCAAUGAAUAUGAUGGAUGCCCCCCAGCAGAGGUGCAGGGGUCCCCCCUUUUGGAUCCAGGAAGCAAAAAGCUGGGGUCCUGGCCUGAGUCUGAGCAGAGGACAGUUUUGAACAAGGAGGUCCACAGGGCAAGAGGAGGGUGGGAGUGCUCCCAUGCACAUGGAUCACUGUGCUUUGGAGUGUGUGUCCCCACUGAUGGGGAUGAGGAUGAGUGUGAGACCAAAGGCAGCCCUCUUGGGGUAGGCAGGGGCCAAGGCCCACAGGUGGGGGCUGGGGAGGAUGUGUUCUUAACAGGCGUGGCCAGACGCCUCCUCCUUCAGAAGACCUGGAAGAAGCAGGUGGAGGGAGAAGCAGAGUCACAGAGGCAAGGCAGAGACUCAGAGGCCCGGAGACUGGGGUGGCCGCAGGCAGGGCCUCCCCAGCCCCACUGCUUUCCGAGCUAGCUAUCUCCAGGAGGCCAGCCUGCCCACAGGGCCCCAAAGCCCCAACCCCCAGGUGGCCCUCCCCUCUUGCAGCUGCCACAGUUUCUGCAGGGCUGCUUUGUCAGACCUCUUAGAACACAAGCAGCAGAACUAGGAAGGCCCUCAGAAUGAAGGAGACGCAGGCACCGUGGGAGCCCAGGGCCCCUUUCCAUUGCACCAGUGCUCCAUCCUCCCACAUCUCCCAAAGAUCAGCCCUCCUCAGUGACCCCGGGAGCCCAGGAAGAUCAAGGAUCGAGACUGUCGCCCUGGACCUGCCUGCUGUGUAGCUCUGGGUGCAAGUCAAAGAUCAAGCUGAAGUAAAGUUCACCUGCAUCUCGUUAUUGGGCCAUGAGAAAUAGCAGCCCGACCCUCAGUUUGAUCCAGGAACAAUCUCACCAGGGCUUGCCAUCAGCCCAGGACAAUUGACAAGGAUGAAAUGGCAUCUUGGCGCUUUUGCUGAACAAGGCAACACUGGGUCUGUCUGACCUGAGGACACUCCAUCCCAGCAGGACCCUAAUGGAGCAACCCACCUGGUCUUUCACCUGUCAGAGGAAAGCACCUCUUCAAGCACAUGGCCAGGGAGGCUGAUGGGGCUGGAAAGCAGGAACCAUACACCACCUGGGUCUGUGCCUGGGAAGGUCUGCUGCUACCACCUCUUGGGGGUCCCCACCCUGAGCUCAGUGGGCCCCCAGCCCACACCACAGGCUGAGGGAGGCUUGGUUGUCAUGGUGACGUCCAGGUACCCAGAAUAAAGAAGGGGCUGCUGGGGAGUGGCACAGUCAUCUGUACAUCAAAAACAGUUGCUGGCUCUGCUCCUUUCCAGCUUUGCACUGACCUGUCUAUCCAGGCCUCACUUGGGCCAGAGCCCAGCUUCACGAAGCCUUGCCUGGCCUUGUCAGGCACAAUCAAUUGUUCCCUCAUCUGAUCAGCCCUUACACCCGUCCACGGCAGGCUGGCCACUGCACUAUGCUAACUUGAGCUGCGUCUGUUCCCUGGCCAGGGUGGGGUGCUCCCCUGCGGUCUACUUUAAUGAGUCCACCCCCACCACAGCUCUCUGGGAGGGUUCCUAGGCAGACUGCACCUUGGCUGAGCCAAUAAGUGGAACCCACCCCCCCUUCCUAUCUACUCCUUUGACCCAGAUCAAGCAUCAGCUCCCGUGAGCUCUUCUCCCAAGAAUUUUAGUCCUGUUCAUCUCUGUGUUGACACCGUUCAUGUCCAAUAAGCUUCUCUUGCAGUUGAUGGGUGUGGGGUGGGGUGAGGGCAAGAGGGCCCAAAUGGGCUGCUGAAGCCAGGCCUGGGAAGGAGGGGCUAGGGAGCAGUGGGGAUAUGGGAAAUGAGGGCAGGCCACGGCAUAAGGAAGGGGAAGGCUGGCUUCCUGGCCCCUUGCUGGCCAGACACACUGUCCUGGAGCUCUGAGUAGCUUUAAACCAUACCCACCAGGAAUUAAGUGUUGAGAGAAAAUGAGCCUGCAGGUGCUGGGGUUUGGAACAAUGCCAUGUGAAGAGGCCUCCUUUCAAGGCUGCUGGAUCAGGUGACCUUGAGGACAUCUCACACUGAGAGGGUGGGGUACAGCGUGUAAAGGUGUGCCUAAUGGAUGCCAGUGUGUGGAGGAGGGCCCACUCCAUCCCAGGAGGCAGAUGUUGGUCAGGAGCGUGAAUGGGGGACUUAGCUCCUGGUCAUAGAUAUGUGCAGGCGUCAGCUGUAGGACUCUGGUGAACAGGAGAGGCAGGUCCAGGUGUAUUUACAUUUCUUUCUGACUCUGCCUAAUUAUUUCUCCCAAUUGCUCCCACUUUGAGCCCAGCCCAAGGUUGUCCUUUGAUCAACACUGCCAUGCCUCCCAACGCUAAUCUGCCAACCAUAAGCGUCCCGAGCUUCUCUCGCCCGGACAUUAACCAUGAGUCCUCUGGGCUGGCAUGUGCAAUGGGCCCAGCCGGAGUGCUGCUGGGAAACCUGCUCAGGGGGCGAGCUGAGCCUCCUGGGAUAAUUCUGACUAAAUGAUUCUUCACGGAGUUGACUUGAAAUGUGAUGAAUGGGUCCCCAGUGCUCUUAAAGCCUCCGAAGUCAGAGCCACAGAAAAGACUCUGGGAGUGGCCUUGAGUCCAGCCCUGGAGAAAACCAAAGGUUGGAGUCAUGAAGUAACUGCUUAUCCACUCAGUGACGGCAGAGUUGAAACUAGGACCCAGGACUUGCCUCCUUCUUCUUCUCAUGCCACAAAGAUAAGAACAUGCAUUUCCUGACAUGCAAUUUGCUAACCUCUUCCCAGGUUAUGUGUGUGAAAGUACCAGGCUACCAGAUGGCGUUGAGUCCGAAUUAAGGUGGUGUCUCAUUGCAUUUCACAUCAUGACCAAGCAAUGUCUUACCACCCCACAAAAAGCCAACUGAGGCUUCCUUGAGUGGAAAGACCACAGUGUUGAGGGCAGGGGCUCUGUGAGCAGGUACCUAGAGCUAGAAGUCAAAACAAGGAAAUGUUUCGAGGGAGGAAGGCAAGUUAAAUGUCAGGCCUCUGAGCCCAAGUUAAGCCAUCAUCAUAUGCCCUGUGAUUUGCACGUAUACAUCCAGAUGGCCUGAAGCAACUGAAGAUCCACAAAAGAAGUGAAAAUAGCCUGUUACCGCCUUAACUGAUGACAUUCCACCACUGUGAUUUGUUCCUGCCCCACCCUAACUGAUCAAUUGACUUUGUGACAAUACACCCUCCCCACCCUUGAGAAGGUACUUUGUAAUAUACUCCCCGACCCUUAGGAAGGUGCUUGGUAAUAUUCUCCCCACCCUUGAGAAUAUACUUUGUAAGAUCCACCCCCUGCCCACAAAAAAUUGCUCCUAACUCCACCACCUAUUCCAAACCUAGAAGAACUAAUGAAAAUCCCAUCAUCCUUUGCUGACUCUUUUCGGACUCAGCCCAACUGCACCCAGGUGAUUAAAAAGCUUUAUUGCUCACA